UUGACAUAUACAGGAAUGUUGUAGAGAUACAGCAGCCGCUUGCGGUCUGUAUACAGGUGCUGCAUGGCUGUCGUCAGCUCGUGCUGUGAAGUGUUGGGUUAAGCCCCGCAACGGGCGCAACCCUAUCAUCUGUUGCCAGCAUUUAAGGUGGGGACUCAGAUGAGACUGCCGGUGACAAACCGGAGGAAGGUGGGGACGACGUCAAGUCAUCAUGGCCCUUAUGUCCUGGGCUACACACGUGCUACAAUGGCCGGUACAGAGUGAAGCGAAACCGCGAGGUGAAGCAAAACGCAGAAAGCCGGUCUCAGUACGGAUUGGAGUCUGAAACUCGACUUCAUGAAGUUGGAAUCGCUAGUAAUCGUGCACCAGCAUGGCGCGGUGAAUACGUUCCCGGGCCUU
rnacentral:rRNA from 1 species